AGAAGGGCUUUCAAAGAGAUCAUCUGGGGCAAUGGGCUGCACCCUGUCUGCGUUCUAGAAUUGCCUGGUAGAGUGAGGAGGGCACCUGCAGACCCUACUACUGUGCUGGGGAGGCUCAAAUCCUUGAGCCCAGGAAUUCAGCACCAGCCUGCACAACAACAACAAAAAGAAUGAUCUGGUGGGCUUUCCAUAGCUGCCAAUAUCCAGGACCCACCCUAGAUUAAUUAAACCAGACUGGAGCACCACCCAUCAUUUCGCAGAUUAAAGAGAGAAACAAGCAAAAUUCAGAACCUUCAAAGAUGGAAUGUGGCUUUGCAUUAGGAGUAGCAUGAUUGGGAACUCCCAGCUCUACAGAAGCUUAAGAAGCAAACUUCAAAAAGUUUCCAUAAUGAUGUGUUGGGCCACACGAAUUGAUUCUACAAGUAAAAGAAUUGAAGAAUUUCUCCCUCGUGACCUAAUUGCUCGUUUUAUAUACGUUCACAUCCCUGGCUGAUGGCAGAGGGGCUGGAAAUGGUCAUUGUCUUGAAAGGUCUCACAAUCAUUUUUCAAACUCAGGCACCCUUCUAUGGGUGGCUGUGCUCCCAUAAACUUCCUGAAAACUCUGGCCAACUGGUGAUAUAAUUGAGCUUCGUGGUUACUAUUCUGUGAAUUUUUUUGGCUUGUGUGUAUUUAAAAUGUAUAUAGAAAAAGCAGUAUUUGCCCCAGUGUCCACUAACGCUGUCAGAUCACCUUUUUUGUUGUUGUUGUUUUUAUACUGGAGAUUGAACCUAGGAAUGCUUAACCACUGAGCCACAUCCACAGCCCUUUUUAUUUUUUAUUUUGAGAUAGGGUCUCACUGAAUUGCUUAGGGCCUCAAUGAUAAAUAGCUGAGGCUGGCCUUGAACUUGCAAUCUUCCCACUUUGGCCUCCGGAUUACAGGUGUGUGCCACCACGCGGGGCUGUCAAGCCAUUUGUGAACUGUUGAACUCUACACUGGCCUGUUUUGUUUGUUUUGAUUUUUAAAUGGAAGCAAAAGCCAGGUGUGAUGGCACACACCUGUAGUCUCAGUGGCUCCGGAGGCUGAGGCAAGAGGAAUACAAGUUCAAAGCCAGACUCAGCAAUUUAGCAAAAGUCUAUUUCAAAUAAAUAAAUAAUAAAAAGGGGACUGGGGAUGUAGCUCAGCGGAAAGCACCCCUGGGUUAAUUCCCCAGUACUGGGGGGAAAAAAAGGCAGACACCAUGCGGGGAGGGUGAUCCACGUCCACAGUUCAGGGAUCCUCUGGAAGGGUCUCGAGACAGCAAAAGGCCAUGGGAAGAGCAGGCUGCUUCUUGAGACUCAGCAGACUUUGAGCCAUCCUGGCAAACAGCAUGCCCUUGCCCACCUCCCCAGCCCUUCCCCGCCAGGGCUGGCCUGCUUGUAGGCAAAGGGGGCUUCAGUUAUUUUGACUGCAGGGCCUGGUCCUGGGCUGGCUGUUCUCUCAGGCCCUGAACCUCCCGGGAGAGGUCCAGGAAGCUUUGAUCAAAAUUAUUUGCCUUGGGCUAAGAGACCUCGGGUUGGCCACUCCUGGAUCGCCCUAAUAAGGCCGGGACCUAGGAUCACAGAUGAGAACCUCUUGUUCUUUUUCUUUUUUUUAGCAAAGGAAAUGCUGAGAUGCAAGGACUCCAACUAUAGGGUUACUACUAGGAGAGGGUAAGUGAAAACGCAGUGGAUCUGUGAAGAAGAAUACCUUCGACCCUCUACUAGGAGCCUGGGAUAAGGAGCAGGACUUCACUGUGUUUGUGGCUGGCUAGGAGGGCCACCCGGAGGCACCCAAGGCCCCUGGUUAGUCAUUCCAAUGGAUGUGAAAACAGGUGGGCAGUUGAGCCUCCUUAUUCUACUUUCCUCCAAGUUCGAAUUCUCUUCAUUAUCUUUUAAAACAUGCAAAUUAGUCAAGGACCUAGCGACCAGCUCUGAGGCAAAAAAAAAUGCAGGGGAGGGGGAAGGGAGAGAAGACUUUCAAAAGUGUCUUAGAGAAAGAUUCUCAUGUAGCCAUUAAAAAGAAUGUUUGUAAAAAAGAUUAGAAAUAUUUAAAGUUAAUGAAAUACUGAAUUUGGCUGUUUGGUUAUUUCCCUCAUAGUCUGGGUUUUUUAUACUUCCCUCUACCCUCCACAUGGACACAGUGAACAUACAUCACUAUGAUAAUUAAAAAAUAAGAUAAAUACUAAAACAAGGAAAUGCAAGUAGAUGUGGCUUUGGAGUUUCCAUCUUUCCUAAGAUGGACAUUGAUAAGUUUUUGGUUUUGUUUUUGAUACUGGGGAUUGAACCGAGGGGUGCCACAUUCCCAGUCCUUUUUAUUUUUUCUUUUGAGACAGGGUCCCACUCAAUUGCUGACGCUGGCCUUGAACUUGCAAUCCUCCUGCUGGGAUUACAGAUGUGCACUACUCGCCCAGCUAGCUGUAGACUGGUUUUGUUUGUUUGUUUGUUUUUGGAACUGAGGAUGUACAGGGUCUCACUGAGUUGCUUAGUACUUGCUUUUGCUGAGGCUGGCUUUGAACUCACAUUCUCCUGCCUUAGCCUCCUGAGCCGCUGGGAUUACAGGCAUGUGCCACUGCGCCUAGCUAGCUGUAAAUUUUAAAAUCAGAAAAAUGGCCAAAUGCAGUGACACAUGCCUGUAUUCACGGCCACUUGGGAGGCUGAGGCAGGAGGAUUGCAAGUUUGGAGGCAGCCUCAGCAAAUUAUCAAGGGUUCAAUCGCCAGUACCAAAUUAAAAAAAAAAUUAAAAGCUAAAUCGGAAAAAAUGUUAACAUUUCAUCUCAUUGUUGCUGUAAAUAAGAAUAAGUAUCUGUGAGGAAAACGAGUCAAGCUUAAAGUCAGAAUUUGAGGGAUACCUAAAGACACCAGAACUUUUUCCCCGCAUUAUUAUUACAGGAGUCAUCAGAAGGCGGACUGGAGAAAAUUGAAGACAAGCAUAUAAGGGUUUUCACCAUAAAAUUAAUUCAUCAUUAUUUGAGUGAGACCCUCCAAGGAUCCGCGCUCAGGAGACGAGGGGGCGGGGCUACAGUCCUCUUGGAAGUGACUUGACAAGCGCCAGCAGAAUCGUCAUUCUCUUCAUAUCUGCAUCUGGGGAUGUAUCCUAAGGAAAUGCUGUGAUUCUAGAUAGAGAGAAAGGCUCAUUCACACUCACGACCUUAUUCACAAUUGUACAGAGGAAGGGGCGUUGACUUGAUGGAAUAUUAGGUAGCCACGAAAGGCGUUCUCCCGGAGAUGAGAAGAAAAUGCUGCGAAUACUAAGUUUAGCCAGGCACGGUGGCGCAGGCCUAUGGUGGCUCCGGAGGCUGAGGCAGGAGGAUCCUAAGUUCAAAGCCAGCCUCAGCAACUUAGGAAGGCCCUGUACAAUUCAGUGAGUCAGGGUCUCACUAAAAAAUAAAAAAUUAAAAUUAAAUAAUAAAAUUAAAAAUAAAAAAGGCUGGGGAAGUGGCUCUGUCAUUAAGCUCCCUUGGGGUCAAUACCUGAGGGGAGGGAGAGACAGGAAAGACAAAAGAAAGCAGGGGCUGGGGACACAGCUCAGUUGGUAGAACCCAUGCACAAGACCCUGGGUUAGAUCCCCAGCACCACCUCCAAAAAAAAAAAAAAAAAAAAAAAAACCCACAGAUCUAAGCUGCAUAUGCAGAGUCUAGGGCUCCUGCCUGGCUCUAUACUUCAUAGGUGUGUGACCUGAACCUGGCAGUGGUGUCCCUGGGCCCAGUUUUCGGACUGAAAUGACUUAACACAUGCAAAGAACAGUGCCUGUCCCAUAUUGCGCCCUUGACAAAUGUAAGCUGCUGUUAUUAUUGCAGUGUGAUUAUGACCAGGUUUAAAAGAAAACUGUUGCAAUGAUUGUGUUUGGAUGAUGGCACUGCUGGGGAUUUUUGAUUUUUUCUUCUUUUUACCUUUUCGUUGUCCAAAUUUUUCAUUAAAUAUGUCAAUUUAUUCAAAAACUAAGUUGGAGCUCAUCACAAAUAAAG
rnacentral:lncRNA from 1 species